GUGGGGAAUAUUGGACAAUGGGGGGAACCCUGAUCCAGCCAUGCCGUGUGUGUGAAGAAGGCCUUUUGGUUGUAAAGCACUUUAAGCGAGGAGGAGGCUACCGAGAUUAAUACUCUUGGAUAGUGGACGUUACUCGCAGAAUAAGCACCGGCUAACUCUGUGCCAGCAGCCGCGGUAAUACAGAGGGUGCAAGCGUUAAUCGGAUUUACUGGGCGUAAAGCGCGCGUAGGUGGCCAAUUAAGUCAAAUGUGAAAUCCCCGAGCUUAACUUGGGAAUUGCAUUCGAUACUGGUUGGCUAGAGUAUGGGAGAGGAUGGUAGAAUUCCAGGUGUAGCGGUGAAAUGCGUAGAGAUCUGGAGGAAUACCGAUGGCGAAGGCAGCCAUCUGGCCUAAUACUGACACUGAGGUGCGAAAGCAUGGGGAGCAAACAGGAUUAGAAACCCGAGUAGUCC
rnacentral:rRNA from 1 species